rnacentral:lncRNA from 1 species
AUGGCUUGACUAAAACCAGAAAGAAGUGAGUCUGAGGACCCCUCCUACAAGAAAACCUGCAGAGCAGCAUAACGAGUGUUUGUAUUACCUCUGUUUGAUACUUGUGCUGCCUCUGGAUGGGCAGCAAAACAUCCGAUGUGAACUUGGGAAGAAACUAAAAGAUGCUCGGGAGUAAAAGAAGACUGAAGAAUGUCCUCAAAGUACAUGGUGACCAGAGAUGAAGCAUCUGCUGCCUGCUUUCUUCAUUAUCAUCAUAAAGAGCGAGAGUUUAAAAGCUAGAAGGAUGGUGAAAGAGUGUAGCAUGCACUUGAAAGGGCAGCUGGCUGGAUCCCAGGGGAAGGAAUUCCACUUGUUACUUCAGAGAGAUGAUGGUAGGUUUGACCAGCUUCCCUUGAC